UAGCAACUACCGCAAUUAAAAGUUACAGCUUUUAUGGAGCUAACGUUACGGACAAUCGGUUCUAAUUUCACCCGCAAGUAAUAGAAAGUUAGCUUAUAAAUCUAGUAUUGUAGUUUCUCAGAAAGGAACCCGCUAAAUCUGAAGAUGAGGACCAUAACUUCAGACAGCGGUGAAGAGGAAAAUGUGGCCGUGAGAAGAAGUGAAUCAGCGGAUGCUCAGGGGAUUGACGGCCUCAUCAGCUUCUCGUCUCUGUCGGUGUUUGGAAGAGUGAAUGUUAUUCAGCUUCUAGAGAAAGCCAACCUGGCUGUGACCCUGGCCAAUGAAAAGGACGAGAUCCUGGCCCACGCUUCCUUCUUUGAUCACCCUGUUGGAGAUUUGGUGGAUCAGGCUCACUGGGAGCCUUUCCUGCAGGAACACUUCAGCGCUGAAAACUGCACGGCACUGAACACACUCUUCCUCCACCUAUUUGUGGCACAGUUGAAUUUUGCCACAGCAAGUGUAAAGGAGAUAAUGAGGGCUGUCUUUAAUGCCGUCGCAGAGGUGGAAUACGUCUGUCUGCUCAGCCCAAACAUCGACGACUUAGAGCCAGCGCUGGAUGGCGUGUUUGAGCCGUUGCAGCGCCUGACUGACCCGGGGCCACAGUGCGUAGCGUUAAUCUGCCACAGACAGGAGCACUGUCCGAGGCUGCACAUCCGGCCUGCCAGGGUUGACGAUCACGAUGACAUUAUGCACAUAUUUGAGAAGCAGACAAAACUAUCCUCAGUCGUAGAUCAGCCGUACUUCCUGGCAGAAGUCAUUGAGGCUCAGAAUGAAGAGAGUCACUCUGCUGUCUGUGAGAUUGACGGAGUCGCUGUUGGCUUCAUCAGUGUCACGUCUGAUGUUGAUUUGAAACAGCUGCGCAACAACUUUGAGCUCAGUGGAUUCAAUGGUUUGUACAAACCGCAGCAAACCAAACCUGCUGCUGCUCGUUCUGACCCGAGAGACGAUGAAGAGGAGCAGAGGCGGACCCAAAGCUCCACCCCUCAACAGGAGGAGACGCAGGCAACCGGAGCUGGAGGGUUUUCAAAGAAACCCAACGCGUUCUCUAUCGAGUUCUUCAUCAUUGACAAGCAUUAUGAAAUGAGAUCAGUGGACGUUAUUCCAUAUGUAUUCAAACUUUUCCCUGACCUGGAUUUCUGCGUCAUCACGGUACCGACUCUUUCCAACGAGUUUCCGUUGCUGCAGAGUUUCCUCAGGGUGCCGGCCCGCGCCACCAGCUUGCUGCUUCGCGAACUCUACAUUUUCCACCGCGACGGGCUGAGGCCUGUGGACGUGAGGCCGGCUGUGGCUGCAGACCGGCCCGCGGUCUCUGAUCUAGUAAAGGGUCUGAGACGGCACGAGUCCCUGCUGCAGGACCUGGACCGCUUCUACAGGACCCGCAGUGACCCGGACGGGGUGCCGCUGCAGGCCUUCGUGGCUCAGGUGGACAGUCGGGUUGUGGGGAUUCUGAUCAUCAGAGACGAGCAGGACGUGGAGUACAUCCGUGCCCACUACAACAUCGAGAACUUCAUCUACUUCAGUCACCACAGCUACGAGGAGCACGCUGAGAUUCGCCACUUGGUCCUGAAACCCUCCUUCCAGCACUUCACCAAACACUUGUUUAAGGAGGUCCUCCGGCUGGCUCACAGAUCCUGCCUGCACCACAGACUCUACCCCCCCUAUCGCAGCCAGGAGGAUUCCUGCGUCCACCAUCUGGAUUUCGUCCUCAACUGUGCAGUUCCCGUGCGCCCGCGACGCCAAAUCAUCUACCCACUGGAGGAGCUUGGCAUCAACGCCCCGUCCAGGCGGAUCACCGAGGACCAGGCACCGUUUGCUCUCAGCCUCAUCAGCAGAAAGUUAACCAUGGAGCCAAAGGUCACCGUUAAUGCCAGGAUUGUCGUGGUGGGGGCGUCAGACACAGGUUUAUCGUUCCUUGAGGUGCUCUGUUUCUGCCCUCACCUGAGGUUCAACAACCUGACCCUGGUCUCAACACACGGUUUCCCCGGCGACUACAACCACGAGGACGUCGGAUUCCUGUCCACAAGUCAUGCAUACAGCAGCAGAGACUUGGCCCAGCUCCCUCUUCACUCCUGCAUCAACGUGGUGACCGGGAAGAUGGUGAGCAUCAACAGGAAGUCCAAACACAUCCGGGUGUCUGGUGGUAAGAAGGUUCCCUACGACCACCUCAUCCUCUGUACAGGCCUGCAGCACCGGGUGCCCUGUCCCUCCGGUGUGGACCUCAGCCAGCCGGUCACUAAUAGCCAGCUGCAGCCUCAGUCUGCUCACCGCAGGUACACCGGGCCCGUCCCCUCCAACCUCUUCACCCUCAACGACCUCUAUGACUGCAUGGCUGCUCGCCGCUGGCUGUGCGCCAACUUUGUAGAGCUGGAGGAUAAAGCCAUCGUGUACGGAAACAACAUCGAUGUCUACACCACAGUGGAGACUUUGCUCGGCCUUGGCGUCCACGGGUCUCGUAUCCAUCUCGUCCUCCCGCCUCCUGAACCCGGCGUCUCCUGCUUCGGUGACCCCGCCGUGGAGGAAGCCGCGGCGACUGCCAUGGAGAAGGCCGAGGUCCACGUCCACCACAACUGCCUGCUGGCCCAGAUGAAAAACGGCGAGCACCCCGACCUUCUCACCUCAGCGUCGUUCACCACCGACGCAGAGCCUCUCCAUCUGCAGUGUGGCGUGUUCAUCAACCUCUCCAAUAAAGGAGUCGACUACGACGCCUUCACGAGCAUCAACAACUCCUUCCUGGUCUUCGACAGCCGACUCGUCAUAAACGCCGCUUUCCACACCAGCGACUCGGCCGUUUGCGGCGCCGGACCGCUCACCAAGUUCUCCCGUUGCUACCACACGGACGAGUGGUCGCACGCCCACUUCAACUCCAAGGAGGUGGGCCGGGACCUGGCAGCCGCGAUGCUGCCCCUCUUUGACCCGACGCUGGAUCCCGCCGACGAUCCCCCGCCUGAAACGGAUCGUCUCGUCCCGCUGUACAAACAGGCCAAGAUUCGAGGUGGGAAGCUGCCUGGCGGAUACAACUACCUGCACGUUACUAAACCGUCUGCGAGCAACCUGACUGGUCCUACUGUGAAACAUCUACAGGACAGAGGGAUUGUGACCGGACGAGUGGAGACGGGGAACUACUUCUGUUUGCAUCUGGACUGCUUCGAGCUGGUGGAGACGCUCACCUGCCUCUCUCUGAAGCCCCUCCCCGUCUCCAAUUACCUGACUCUGUAUGGGAAACACCAGCAGCUGCUGGGCCAGCUGCUGAGCCGCUACCACCAGGCCCUGAUCCACGAUCUGUACAGCUUCUUCAGACAGAGCUGCUGUUUGGCCGUUUAUCACGACAGAUUCUCCGACUUUGAGCAGGAGCUUCAGCAGAUCACCUCGACCAAAUUCCAGGACGAUGAGUGGAGGCAGAAGGUGAUGAUGGGCGGACAGGACAGGUUUGAAGACGCUGAGACUCGAGCUGCGGUGAGGAGCAGCGCUGUGAAGUAUCUGACCUACAACAGGAACCUGCUGCCCAUGUUCGCCUGCCCGGGACAGCUGUGACAACGGAGGACAACAACUUGACAAAGUGUUUUUAACCAGUGACGUAUCUCAACAACUAUCGGAUGGAUUCCCUUUGAAUCUGGUUCAUGUCUCCAUGGAGAGGAAGUACUGGCUCUACAGGUGGCGAGUUACAUCACACCGGCUCCCUCAGAUUUGAAUCCACCUCCUCCUCCUCUGCCCUGCCCUCCAUUACGGCCGCCCUCUCUCCCCCUCUCAGCUGCCGCCUCCCCUCACGCAUCUUCUCUUAUCUCCAACACACUCAAACAAAGAGGAAACAAAAAAAACAAAAAAGAAAUAAAAAGCAGGAGCAGACAGAGUAAACACGGCCUCGCUGCCUCUCUGCGUAGGCCCACGUAAGUCAAACAAACCUCGGGGGCAUUUUCCAGGCCGGCAGGUGUUGGUGUCAGAGGCAGGCGAGCGUGGCAUCGAGAGUCAACAAGUGGAGGGAAACAAGCGGCGAGAGCCUGACACACUUAAAACUCAGGAACACAGUGUUUUUAGUGAAGAUUAAACUUGAGCUGGAGCUUGUAGAGUGUUUGCCGUUUGUCUUUCGCUCACUGGACAUGAAGCUGCCGAAGUUAAAACGCUAAAUCCUCAUCAGAUUCACGCUCCAUCUUCACCGUUGUCGUGUUUCUGCAAGUCGUGUCAAUCACAGCAAAGUGGGUGGGACGGUUUGCAACAUUCAGCUAAUUUUAGCUUCUUCAAGUCCGAGCACUUGUGUCCUGCGACAUGUGACCAGAGAAAUGACCAAGAUUGCUAACAGAACAUGCUAACAUCAGCAUGCUAACAUGUAGAUGCUCAGCAGAUAUAAUGUUUAUGACAUUCAUCACAAUUAGCAUUUUAGCAUGCUAACAGUUGUUAAUUCUCAUAAAACACAAAGUUCAGCUGAGGUCAGAGUCAGUCAAAAUGUCCCUAAGAUGAAGAGAUUAGAAACCUCGACCUGCUGGUAGCACGAGUUGAGGAGGAUUUGUCCUCUGGGGACCAUGACUGUCUCAAAAAGAUUUGAUUGCCAACGGUCGUUCAGGUGUUUCAGUCCGGACCAAAGUGGUGAAGCAACUGACUUAGAGCUGCUUUAAAUCCAGAGUAAGUGAACUACAGGUCGUACAUCAUGUAGGAAAUUCAACAUGUAUCUGACGUCAUAGAAACUCCCACAUGAUGUGAACGUAACACCAGGAUCAUGUUGCUCAUGUGAGCAGUUUGAUUCGCUCUGGUCGCACCUUGGAGAACACACUGUGUCGGUACAUGCAGCCUGUUUGGACCCGUGACGUCAGGGUCUGCAGAUGACAACUGAUGGGUUUAACAGAGCAGGAUACAGCUGGCUGUGAUACCCAUCUCCCCUCUGAUUAGCAGGGCUCAAAUAAAACCUUAAUCGCCUUGUUGACUUGAAAGGCUCUCAAAGUGGGAAAGCUAAUUAACUCUACCCAGCAGCACACGGGCCGAGAGGAAUUCUAACCUCUGGGGCUUUUUCAUUAUCCCGGUCAUUUGGUUUGUAGAGUAAAAAAUAAAAUAAUGAAUAAAUAUGUAAGAAUUACAACAAAAAAUAUCCAACUGUGACACAGAGUGUAAAAUAUUAUUGGAAAUGAAAAAAAUUCAGGAGAAUAAACCGAACAGUCUGAAAAAUACAAAAACAUAUUUGACCAGCAGCUGCAUUUACGUGAAGAACGUACGAAGGAUGUGAACAGGCAGGAGACGAUAACAUCAUCAGUGUCAGAGUCAGACAGAUCAAUAUUGAUUAGAGAUUAAAUAUUGUUACUGUUGUCUCAGUGAUACUCUGGUACUCUCUCAGUUUUGAUUUAUUUGUUCAGUCUUCAGCUCUGCUUCUCUGAUUGUACACAGACUUGUAAACAUACAUAUACUGUACAUUAACCACCCACUGCAUGUACUGUAACGUAAUACUCCAUCCAGACUAUAAUACACUUUGUAUGUACAAUAUUUAUUCUAGCAC